UCAGCCCCUGUGGCUCCUCUGCCGCCCCUCCGGCUUCACCUUCGGCGACUACUCCAUGCAGUGGGUGCGCCAGAGCCCCGGGAAGGGGCUGGAAUGGGUCGCUGGGAUCUACACUGGUGGUAGCACCUACUUCGCGCCGUCGGUGAAGGGCCGGUUCAGCAUGGCCAGGGACAACGGGCAGAGCUCGGUGACGCUGCAGAUGAACAACCUCAGGGACGAGGAUUCCGCCACCUAUUUCUGUGGCAAGGCUGGUGAUGCUGAUGGGAAUAUUGCUGAUGAUAUCGACCCCCUUUGUGGGGUCCCCAAAGCUCCCCAGACCCUCCCCCCAAAGCCCCGCCCCUCGCACCCAAAUCUGAAUUGUUGA